UUUAGCAUUGGUUAGUUUCUUAUGGUUUUGGCCUUGAGAUUUUUUCUGCUUAAAGACACACUUAGCUCUCAUGCUUCGAGCUCGGUGUCUUGUGGACUGGGCAAGACCCCAAGGUCCCUCGCCCAGGGGCAUUUGGCCUUAGGCGGGGAGCGCGCCAGGGACUUGGGCCUCUCUCCCCGAGGCCCAACUGGCCCAUUAAGAUACAUUAGCAGUGCAAAGCCCAACUCCACACCUAUAAAUAGGGGACGGUAACCAAUUGUAAGAGACUCUUGGCUCAUUUGAGAAAUAUUCAGAUUGAAAUCCAGUUAUUCUCUCUCUCUAGCGGUUAGAACUUCUCUCUCUCAAACACUCAUAUCACUUUCCUCACACUUUGGGUACUCUACCCGCAUUCAAUGUUCUUAGGAUAGAACAGCAAUCCUUUCAAAUUCUGCAACUGUUAUUCUGAAUGCAAGUUUAGGAUGGUAUGAAUCAUGAAUUUUUAGUUGGAGAUGAUAAGUUAAUCACCGUCCUAAACGUGAUGAUAAGUUAAAUCAAAACAUUUGCCAAGAUUUCAUAUUUGUAUUUUUAGCGCGCAGCUUCUUUUAUUUACUUUAUAAGUUUUAGUCCCAUUCACUCUCACACUUUGAUUGCUGUAAUCAGGAAAAGAGGUAAAUUUUGAUGAAGUGGAAGUGAUCAAGACGCAGUUCUUUUUGUUCAAAAGAUAAAAUACCUCUAGAAAUCCAGAAGUCAAAUCCAUCAAAGCCACUCCUUUUCCAUAAGGAUCUUUAUGAGAGAAUUCUACUGCUGUCAUGAAGCAACUUUCCUCUUCAGUUCUACUGGGUAUAGAUAAAAAAAAAAUCAUCAUGCAACUUAAGAAGAUAAAUAUAAGGAGACCAAUAUCAAGUGCUUCAACAAUUGGAAAGGAGAGAAUAGUUAUAUCUGGAAUGGUAUAGCAGAAGAAGAAUUGAAUCUUAUUCCCAUAAAUCAACAGCUGAAUGACUGUGAAGAAGAUGUUGGAUAAAGUGGAUGAUCUUGACAUGGACAAAGUGAUAGAGGAAUUUGAGAGGCUUACAAAGGAUGCUGAUCUGGUUUAGAAUACUUAUGGAUCUCUAUUCUUGGCUUCCCU